rnacentral:snRNA from 1 species
AUAUAUUUUAUAUAUAAUGAAACUGGGAUGAUACAGAGAGGAUUAACACAUCUCCCGAGCAAGGAUAACAGACAAAUUUAGGAAGCAUCCCAUAUUUCU